rnacentral:rRNA from 1 species
GAUGAACGCUGGCGGCGUGCCUAAUACAUGCAAGUCGAGCGAACGGACGAGAAGCUUGCUUCUCUGAUGUUAGCGGCGGACGGGUGAGUAACACGUGGAUAACCUACCUAUAAGACUGGGAUAACUUCGGGAAACCGGAGCUAAUACCGGAUGAUAUUUUGAACCGCAUGGUUCAAAAGUGAAAGACGGUCUUGCUGUCACUUAUAGAUGGAUCCGCGCUGCAUUAGCUAGUUGGUAAGGUAACGGCUUACCAAGGCAACGAUGCAUAGCCGACCUGAGAGGGUGAUAGGCCACCCUGGAACGGAGACACGGUCCAGACUCCUACGGGAGGCAGCAGUAGGGAAUCUUCCGCAAUGGGCGAAAGCCUGACGGAGCAACGCCGCGUGAGUGAUGAAGGUCUUCGGAUCGUAAAACUCUGUUAUUAGGGAAGAACAUAUGUGUAAGUAACUGUGCACAUCUUGACGGUACCUAAUCAGAAAGCCACGGCUAACUACGUG